GAUGAACGCUAGCUACAGGCUUAACACAUGCAAGUCGAGGGGAAACGACAUCGAAAGCUUGCUUUUGAUGGGCGUCGACCGGCGCACGGGUGAGUAACGCGUAUCCAACCUGCCCACCACUUGGGGAUAACCUUGCGAAAGUAAGACUAAUACCCAAUGAUAUCUCUAGAAGACAUCUGAAAGAGAUUAAAGAUUUAUCGGUGAUGGAUGGGGAUGCGUCUGAUUAGCUUGUUGGCGGGGUAACGGCCCACCAAGGCAACGAUCAGUAGGGGUUCUGAGAGGAAGGUCCACCACAUUGGAACUGAGACACGGUCCAAACUCCUACGGGAGGCAGCAGUGAGGAAUAUUGGUCAAUGGACGAGAGUCUGAACCAGCCAAGUAGCGUGCAGGAAGACGGCCCUAUGGGUUGUAAACUGCUUUUAUAAGGGAAUAAAGUGAGUCUCGUGAGACUUUUUGCAUGUACCUUAUGAAUAAGGACCGGCUAAUUCCGUG
rnacentral:rRNA from 1 species